GGGCGUAUAGCUCAGUGGUAGAGCGCCCGCUUCGCAUAACCGUGAUCCAACUUGCGGGAGGUCUGGGGUUCGAUCCCCCAUUCGUCCA